rnacentral:rRNA from 1 species
AUACGUAGGUGGCGAGCGUUAUCCGGAAUUAUUGGGCGUAAAGAGCGCGCAGGUGGUUGAUUAAGUCUGAUGUGAAAGCCCACGGCUUAACCGUGGAGGGUCAUUGGAAACUGGUCGACUUGAGUGCAGAAGAGGGAAGUGGAAUUCCAUGUGUAGCGGUGAAAUGCGUAGAUAUUAGGAGGAACACCAGUGGCGAAGGCGGCUUGCUGGACAAAUACUGACGCUGAGGUGCGAAAGCGUGGGGAGC